rnacentral:lncRNA from 1 species
AAAAGAGGAGGAUUGGCAGCAGAUGUUAGCUCAGGGCUGAUCUUCCUCAAAAAAAAAAAACAAAGGUAAUUACUUUGUUUUUAGAGUAUAAACUUAACAUAUAUUUAUUGUAGCCCAGUCUCAUAUUAUCAGUUUACUACAUUCCCUUGGUUUUAUCCAGUAGAAACGCUGACCAAUUGGUACACAUUGCUAGCACAAUUCGUGUUACAAUGAAAGAAGAUGUCCAUUGUACAAUGCCCAUGUACCAGGCUGGAUUGGUGAGUCAUUAAGCAGACAGUCGGGCCUUAGAACCAAGGGACCAAGAUGUGCUCAGCUGUCUUUCUGGGGCUUGGGCUUGAGCAUUUAUAAUAUGAUGAAGGCACAGCAUUAGGGCUUGAGUAUAAGACCAAGUCAGCAUUUAAAGCAGCUAAACAACAGCUCCCAUUCUUCAGAGCUUGCUACCAGCUAGGCCCCAGGCAUCAGUGAUACAUAAGCUUUACCUCAAACCUUCACAACUUUGUUAUCCCUAUUUUAAAGAUGGAGGUGCAGAGGGGUUGAGGAAUUUGCAAAAAUCACAGUCAGUAGGUCGUGAAGCCAAAAUUUAAGGCAGAAGCCAGAGCUCUUAACCAUGACACUCUCUGCCUUCUGUUUCCAUCAAUAAAUCCUAGAGCUCUGGGUCCUAAAACCCCCUGCCCAGUUUCCCCUGUGUGUGUGAGAAGUGGAGGUGGAGCCGAGUCUGUAGGUCAAAGGUAUUGGCGUGACAUCAGAAGGCUAUGCCAGGUUUGGGCUGGACAUCACCCAGCCCUUUCCCCGACCAGAUGAACCAGCCCGGGAGGCUCUAAACUUGCUGCCUCUUGGGGCAGGUGGGUCAGCUUUGCCCUGCCAGCAAUGCUAGUGAGUGCACAACAAUGCCUUCCCAUGGGACCAAGCCUAGUGUGGCAAAUGAAAACAUUUUUUUCUGAACUGAGAGCGUUUUGUACUGACUUUGUCAGUUACAAAAUCUUUAUCUGUAAUGUGGCAGGGUAGAGGGGAAGCUGUCUGGGCUUUGAAUAAAAUCACCUGGC